rnacentral:rRNA from 1 species
UAGGGAAUCUUCGGCAAUGGACGGAAGUCUGACCGAGCAACGCCGCGUGAGUGAAGAAGGUUUUCGGAUCGUAAAGCUCUGUUGUAAGAGAAGAACGAGUGUGAGAGUGGAAAGUUUACACUGUGACGGUAUCUUACCAGAAAGGGACGGCUAACUACGUGCCAGCAGCCGCGGUAAUACGUAGGUCCCGAGCGUUGUCCGGAUUUAUUGGGCGUAAAGCGAGCGCAGGCGGUUAGAUAAGUCUGAAGUUAAAGGCUGUGGCUUAACCAUAGUAGGCUUUGGAAACUGUUUAACUUGAGUGCAAGAGGGGAGAGUGGAAUUCCAUGUGUAGCGGUGAAAUGCGUAGAUAUAUGGAGGAACACCGGUGGCGAAAGCGGCUCUCUGGCUUGUAACUGACGCUGAGGCUCGAAAGCGUGGGGAGCAAACAGGAUUAGAUACCCUGGUAGUCCACGCUGUAAACGAUGAGUGCUAGGUGUUAGACCCUUUCCGGGGUUUAGUGCCGUAGCUAACGCAUUAAGCACUCCGCCUGGGGAGUACGACCGCAAGGUUG